rnacentral:lncRNA from 1 species
GUUGGGUAUCUUCGCCUAGCCGGAGGUUCACCGCUUGGUUCCCGACCGUCCUGCCGCCUUCACACGUUGCUCAAGCAACAACAAAUCUCUACACUCCGUGCUUCUUCCUUUUCCUUCUUCUUACACCUAAACCUGCAAAAUCAGAGGAAGUGCAAGUGAAAAAGAAAAAGAACAGAAAACAACAGGAAGAAGUAAAGAAAGACAGAGGUGGGAAAAAGGUGUCUCAGGGACACAGGUGGCUCAGAUUUUUCCCACGGUAGGCUCGGCUCUUCCGGCAGCUUAAAUGAUCAAGGCUCAGGGAAACAUGGAGAACUAAUCGGCACUCAAGUCUCGCUUUGCACAGCCACCAAAAUCCACAGUGUAUCACCAAACAGGAAUCCAAUUAUCAGGAAUCCGGCGAUACACGCAAUCAAUCGGAGCGAGGUUCACACACACAGUCACCAAUCAGGAAACCACGAACAGGAAUCCGGCGACACUUCAGGAAGGAAUAGCAGAGCCUUCCGGUCAAACAGUGUGUAAAACUAACUACAAUGAAAGCAAUGCAGCGGGGAUAAAAAGAGGUCGAGCAAAAGGCAGGUGGGAAAACGAGGAGACGGGGCGGUGGAAGGGCGGUGGAGAGGGGGAAGACAACGAGACGGGAGGCGGAAAUAAGGCGGAGGGGAGAGAGAGUCAGCGGCGCACGGGAGUGAUGAAAUGGGGGGGGCUGAUUUGGACUUAGGGUAUAAAGGGGAUGGGCUUGGGCUUGGGUUUGGGCUUGGGGGGGGUUAAUGAGAAUUGGGCCAACACUCCACAUUCCACCUUUGGCACAAUGAUCAUUAAGUCACCAGGGAAGAGCCAGCCUUUGAAUCGAGCUUUAUCAUCACAGCCAUUUUUACUAUCAUCCUAUCACAAAGACAAGACAAUAGAGGGUGAGAAAAAUAUUAUGCAUAUUUAACUCAAUCUCAACAACAGAGACCAACCCAAGGGAAAUCACCAUUUCUCAAACCCAAAGGGUUAUCAUUGAAGACACAACAGACACACACACACAUGCACUCAAGCAACAUCACACAAGACACACAGAGCAGACAACAAAAGACAAAGCAAAACCAGACCAUCACACACAAACAUAAACAGAAAACAAACACAGGAUAGCAGCAGGCAAACAGACCAGAACACAACAGGCAACUCAAAGACAACACUCAUCAUGCAAAAAGAAAAAACAAAGACAAAGAAGAGACAAGCAGCCUUAGAGGUUUGCACCCAAAAAGGGUAGGGGAUCCACCUCAAACGAAACAGUGGGUGUAGACACAAGCUCAUACUUGCUUUGAUCAACAACAUUCACAUUCUCCACCUCACUUGGAGCAGCAGAUUGUGAGGGUUCAAGCAAGCACGGGACUGACUCAGCACAUACAGCAUUGGAGUAGUUUAAGAACUGAAAAUCAUGAUCAUGCACCAUAUAGACUCCAUCUUCUUCAAACACAUUGUUAGCACGCUGUUCAGGUUCAAAGCUCUUGUUUUUCUUAGGCAGUCUACACUUAUUUGACAAAUGACCAGGCUUUCCACAAUUCCAACAAAGCUUUUUAGGCUUUUGAUCAAACCCCUUUUUAUCUUUGUUAACAACAUGACCUCACCAUGCAGAUGCUUUGACUUAGCAGCAAUUGUCUUAUGUUACGACUUAGCUCAUUAUAGUUCAGUUUACAACUGCUCAUGUAUUAGCAGCUUUAAGUCAUGAAGCAGUUUAUUGAAAAUUUCCAUAUUAGUGUCAACAUCUUUAGAAGAAUCCAUUUGGAAAGACAUAAACUGAUUUUGCAAAGACCAAGUAGAUACUUCAGAGGGUGCAGCAUAAAUGGAGUUUAGUUCAUCCCACAGUUCUUUAGCACAUGCAUAGUGUGACACUUUCCUUACAACAGAACUGCUUAAAUUCAACAGAAUUGUUGCCCUAGCAUUAUCAUUCAUGUCAUGCAAUUUUUCAUCAGUGACAGUUUUAUCAAUUUUAGUUAAUAAAGCCUUAUUAACCUUCUCCUUAACAAGAAUGCAUUCUAUUUUGGUUUUCCAGUCCUGAAAAUCAUCCCUGCCAUUGAAUGGCACCAAAAGCAUAUUGUUCAUGAUGAAUGCAGAUGCAGCACUUAAGCAACCACAAUUUUUCACAGAAAACCACAACAAUCACAGAGUAACAGGUCAGUCAGACCACAGAGCAAAGCAGAAACACCAGAGAGAGCAAAACAACAGCGGAAACAAUAAGGAACCAAAGCACACACAGCCUGUCUAGAUAGCCCCCUUUCUCCCUUGAUUUCCAGGGUACUCGCACGAGGAGACUCCUUUAAAGGAGAAUCCAGACGAACUGGACCAAAUGCAAGGGAGAACCUCACUUGGCUUUGAAUGCCAGGGGUUUAUCGAGAUAUAAGGCAACAAGCGGAAGCACACAAAGGUCAGGAUCGCAAGAUACCAAGACAAACAAAAACAUGACAAAAAAAAAAACAGCAGGCAACACCAAUCCUAAUGACUAGGAGUUUUAGGGUCUUAAGCCAAUUUACCAGAGCCGACUUCCCAGGUAGGGGAAGAGUCGGUCUUACCAAAACCUUGCUCGUCGGGAGCGAGUCGGCGCAGCCAAAGGGCGGCGGGGUGAGAGGGAUGUGUUCGGGGGGAGCCCCGGCAAGGUCCCCGUGGCUCUGAUACCACUGUUGGGUAUCUUCGCCUUUCCGGGAUUACUCCUCUUGUUUCCCGAACCUCCGGUCCGUCUCACUCGACACUCUAGUGCCAAACUUCUCUUCACGUUUCUUCCUCUUCACCUUUAGUUUCUUCUUCUACCUGCUAGUACCUGCAAAUCAACAGAAACACAGCAAGUUAAACUGUUCAAAGAAAGAAAACUAAAGAAGACAGAAAAGUAAGAAAGAGCAGAAAAGAUUGAAGUGGGAAAAUGUGUCCUCGGGACACUUUGGCUCAGAUUUUCCCACGGUAGGCUCGGCUCUUCCGGCAGCGUUAAUGAUCACGGCUCAAGGGAACAUGGAGAACUAAUCGGCACUCAAGUCUCGCUUUGCACAGCCACCAAAAUCCACAGUGUAUCACCAAACAGGAAUCCAACGAACAGGAAUCCGGCGACACACGCAAUCAAUCGGAGCGAGGUUCACACACACAGUCACCAAUCAGGAAACCACGAACAGGAAUCCGACGACACUUCAGGAAGGAAUAGCAGAGCCUUCCGGUCAAACAGUGUGUGAAACUACC